rnacentral:misc_RNA from 1 species
GGUAAAAUUUCGAUCGAAUUGAUAUCUAUUCAACGAUGACAUUAUCAUUCAUGCCAAUUCAAAGUUUACAUUGAUUAAUACCAUAUGAUAUUGCUUUUUAUUUUUUCAAAAUAAAAAAAAAAUCAAAAUUUUUAAAAUAAAAUGGAGAAGCCUAGUUUCUUUGUAGAAUGCCAAUUCCUUCCAAGCUCGACACCCCCCCGUCCCUUCACGCACUCGAUUAAUUUUUUACUCCGAUUCAAUCUUGCUCUCGAUAUUAUGGAGAUAGGUAUGGAGAGCUUUCUUCUUCACCUCGAGAACCAAGACUUCUAAAUAUUGACAUCCAGCAUCAUAACCUCAGACUAUAUAAAACUUCACUCUAAAUACCUUCCCCAUCUUUUGUUAUAUUGGUAGACAAUAAUUUCUAUUUACAAGAGAACUCGAGAUACAAACCUCACAUACUCCACAUACUAUACUAUUUUAUGCUUUCUAUGGAAUAUAAUUAUUGCUCCUUACAACUCGCACUUGCUCCAUUUGAUAAACCCUAAUUUCCAAUUUUCUUGAGACAUAACCAUUUCUCUAACAGUUCCAAUCCCCAUGCUCACUUCACCUCCGAAUCUUUGCAUUGCCUAUGUCCCCCCAUAUGCAUAACCUUUCCACUUGGGUAAUAUCAUAGAGCUCUUGAUGGAGUUAGGAACCACAGAACAGAAAUUUAACUCACUGGAAUGACUAGCUGGGGGAAAUAAGAGGACAGAAGAAUUCAGUGGAAAUCAAGAGUCUGAUCUCGUAGCUGUAAAGGAUGAAAGAAGACCUGCAGCUUGGGCAGGUAAAAUAUCACCAAACGUUGACAUGGCAGCUGCUGAUCGGUCUUUGAAUAUCCCUACUUGCCCAUCAGUUAAUAUGGAUCCCAACUUUAGGGUGCUCUCCCCAAACCUGCUGCCAACUUGCAUAAAGGACUUCAAAAUUGGUGCUGCUACACCAAAACUUGAGUUGUCAUCCAAGCUGAUCUUCUGUGAAAACUCCCCAUUGGUAUAGGCUUUCCAGGAACUUCUUGAGGAGAUAUCAUCUGAAGCUGCAGGAAUGGAUGUCUUAGGUGUUCCUCUGGAAGAUAAUGCUGGCGCACUGAUUGGAAGGUAUUUGAAACGAGGAACAAUUGAGCAUCUCAUUAUAUUUGACUCUGGAUUAGAAGGAAGUUUCUGCACGGUAUCUGUGUACAUCCGAUUCAGUUGCACAAAGAAUCCAAAGAGGACUGCAUGUCGUAGGUAUGACUGUCUCUCAUUCUCCCAGAGAUAUGGCUCAUACGUUAGCCAGUCUAUUGGAUCCAAUUUUUGUGAAAAACGGUUAAUUAACUCCUCAAUACGCUCUCUAAAGACCGACUUUGUUUGGCUUUGCCCCUGCUUCCUUCUGAAAGAAACCUUCAUCAUAGGACUUUUAGAUAAGUCCUCAUUUAUAUUGGAUUCACUGCCAGAAAGAACAUCUGCAGCAAAUUUUAGAUCUAAAAGAAUUUGAAGAACUCCUUUCUCUGACACUUGAGAUGCAUGAGAACCUCUACCGGAAAGGAAAUCCUCAUAAAUUUCAAUAAGCUUUUCCAGUAGUCGUAGUGCAAAUUUUU